CCUACGGGAGGCAGCAGUGAGGAAUAUUGGUCAAUGGGCGUAAGCCUGAACCAGCCAAGCCGCGUGAGGGAUGAAGGCUCUAUGGAUCGUAAACUUCUUUUAUAAGGGAAUAAAGUGUGGGACGUGUCUUGUUUUGUAUGUACCUUAUGAAUAAGGAUCGGCUAACUCCGUGCCAGCAGCCGCGGUAAUACGGAGGAUCCGAGCGUUAUCCGGAUUUAUUGGGUUUAAAGGGUGCGUAGGCGGCCUUUUAAGUCAGCGGUGAAAGUCUGUGGCUCAACCAUAGAAUUGCCGUUGAUACUGGGAGGCUUGAGUAUGUUUGAGGCAGGCGGAAUGCGUGGUGUAGCGGUGAAAUGCUUAGAUAUCACGCAGAACACCGAUUGCGAAGGCAGCCUGCCAAGCCAUGACUGACGCUGAUGCACGAAAGCGUGGGGAUCAAACAGGAUUAGAUACCCCAGUAGUC
rnacentral:rRNA from 1 species